UACAUGGGGUGCAAACGUUGCUCGGAAUUAUUGGGCGUAAAGCGCGCGUAGGCGGUUACUUAAGUCGGAUGUGAAAGCCCUCGGCUUAACUGAGGAAGUGCACCCGAAACUGAGUAGCUAGAGUACGAAAGAGGGUCGCGGAAUUCCCGGUGUAGAGGUGAAAUUCGUAGAUAUCGGGAGGAACACCGGUGGCGAAGGCGGCGACCUGGGUCGAGACUGACGCUGAGACGCGAAAGCGUGGGGAGCGAACAGG
rnacentral:rRNA from 1 species